GGCGGCCCCUGGACGAGACUGACGCUCAGGUGCGAAAGCGUGGGGAGCAAACAGGAUUAGAUACCUGGUAGUCCACGCUGUAAACGAUGUCGAUUUGGAGGUUGUGCCCGUGAGGCGUGGCUUCCGGAGCUAACGCGUUAAAUCGACCGCUGGGGAGUACGGCCGCAAGGUUAAAACUCAAAUGAAUUGACGGGGGCCCGCACAAGCGGUGGAGCAUGUGGUUUAAUUCGAUGCAACGCGAAGAACCUUACCUACUCUUGACAUCCAGAGAACUUAGCAGAGAUGCUUUGGUGCCUUCGGGAACUCUGAGACAGGUGCUGCAUGGCUGUCGUCAGCUCGUGUUGUGAAAUGUUGGGUUAAGUCCCGCAACGAGCGCAACCCUUAUCCUUUGUUGCCAGCGGUUCGGCCGGGAACUCAAAGGAGACUGCCAGUGAUAAACUGGAGGAAGGUGGGGAUGACGUCAAGUCAUCAUGGCCCUUACGAGUAGGGCUACACACGUGCUACAAUGGCGUAUACAAAGAGAAGCGACCUCGCGAGAGCAAGCGGACCUCAUAAAGUACGUCGUAGUCCGGAUUGGAGUCUGCAACUCGACUCCAUGAAGUCGGAAUCGCUAGUAAUCGUAGAUCAGAAUGCUACGGUGAAUACGUUCCCGGGCCUUGUACACACCGCCCGUCACACCAUGGGAGUGGGUUGCAAAAGAAGUAGGUAGCUUAACCUUCGGGAGGGCGCUUACCACUUUGUGAUUCAUGACUGGGGUGAAGUCGUAACAAGGUAACCA
rnacentral:rRNA from 1 species